rnacentral:miRNA from 1 species
AAGAAUGUUUAGUAAAAAUUUGUCUGAGCUUUUGUCGUCUAAGACGACAAAAGCUCAGACAAAUUUUUAGAACAUUCUA